CUCUCGCACACACACACACACACACACACACACACACACACACGCGCGCCCGCCCGCUCGCUCCCGAGCUGCCUCAGCAAGGAGGAGCCCGGACGGAAAGCACCAGGGCAGCAAGACUGCCUUUCCCAUCUUCGCUGAUGCUGGAUUUGGAGGUGAAGUUCCCGGAGAAUGAACCUGGCAGUGAGUGCAGGUUUCACUGAAAGCUGAGGCAGUUUCUUAUUCCCUAGGAGACUGAGAAGUGAGGGGACCCUGGAUGUCAGCCCAAUCUCCGUUUUUUCAUUUGUUUUGCAGGAGAUUUGGGGCAGAUUUUCUCCUUCAACUCUGGGAAUUGACAGGUACAAUUCAUGCAGGCACCUUUGCGUGUCUCAAGAAAAAAGCCCGAGACCGUGAAGUUGAUGUCACUGCUUUCUCUAGUUAACCAGUGGUACGCCCUUCUAUUAAUUGCUAUUAGAAAGUGCAGCCUUGUACCAUAGUCAUUGAAUAAUCAUUAAACUCUGGAGGAUACACAAGCCCAAAGGUUAAUAAUAGGAAUAACAAUUAAUAGUACUGACCUUGCCAAUGGGGAUAGUGUUUUUGUCAUAGUUAUUACAAGGUAAUCCUAUGUAUACUGUGAACAGUGGUGUAAAUUUGGACCCAAUGUGUGGAGUACCAAAUCACUGUAGCAACACCAGAAAUUAAUUUACCCCAUUAUUUCCAUGUUAUUAGGCCUCUGACUUUUUCUCCCUUUAAAAUGUAUCAUCCACUAACUGCUUCGUUUUAAACAGCAAUGCUAAGUCUUUAAUCAAUUCUGACAUUUCACUAGAAAAUAACAUCUAGCUCUCUUACACAGAUAAAAAUUUAUUUGCCUGCAGCUGAUUUGUUGUAGUGCUUUGGACCUAUUCGUUUCUCAAAGAGGACUUAGAUUUUUAUGGUCUUUAGGAACUAUGGGGUAAUAAACAGAAAAUCAGUACAAAGAGGGCAUUCUCACUUUUAUAGGUUUAACUAUCCACUCCCUAGAGCCACCUCCUCGCACAGCCACUCUGACUGACUGACUGGCUGACAAACUGGCACCCUUCUAUUGUCAAAGACCCAUCUCCUUUUAUAUGUAUCACAAUCUUCUGACUGUCUAGUCAGUGAGUCCUAAUAAUAACCAUGUUUCAUGUCUCAGAAAUCUAAUAAUCAAGUUACUCAUUCUUAUAAAUUGCAGCUAAGCUAUUUGGGUUAGUCGCGUUAUCCCCACUUUGAAGGCAGGGAAACUGAAACGGGAAAAUUAACACGUUUGCCUGAGGCCACACAUGGAUUUAAGAGUAGAUCCAAGACUGGAACUGAAUUCAGACCAAGCCUGCUCUUAAAAGAUCCUCAAGUGCACUAUGGAAAAUGCUUCUUUAAAAUAAAGAAAUGUAAUAUAAAGCUUAUUUUUCAUGAAUUUUGUAUAUUAGUCAAAAGGCAUUCUUUUUUUUUUUUUUUUUAGAUCACAUUUCCUUUUCUAAAUAUAAGAUUUAUCCAGCUCUUGAAAAAUUAUGGUGACACCUUUCAACUGCAUGGGGCAGUUUACUUUGGAAACAAGAAACAUUUAAUAUGAGAUUGUGAGCAGUAAUGGAAGCCAAAUUGCUCAUUAUUAGGUUACUGUAAACAAUAUGCAGUGGGUGUUACAGUGUAGUUACAGGUCAACAAAAUAUAACGACAAGUCAGGUAUUAGUAUAGAGAAGGUGUUACUGCUUACCUGGCGUGCAUCGGUUUUCACCAUAAUACUCCUUCAGUGCUUUCAGUAUCAAAAUACUUAGCAUGGGUCCAGACAUAGAAAAACACAUGGGACAACCAUAUACUGUGUUUGAGAAUUAUGAUUUAUGUCAUUAAGCAGUGAGUUUUACCAAGUUGUGUCAUUCAUGUCAAUGAAGCAAGACAUAUAUUGCCUGCCCUUUACCUGUGGCAUGUCAUCAAAGCUAUAUUAUGGUGUGACUGAGCGCAGAUGGCAUGCCUAAGAAGCAGGUGUACAAUAUAACUUUCCUAGUACUGACACAUAAAUAUUUCCUCUUCCUCAUUGUCCACCCCCAGAUGUUUGCUUGCCCAACCUUCUACAGGAACUGUAGAAAGUCCUGCUCAUCCUGCUCGUCCCUGAUGGCUGGAAUUGUGCAGUCAAAACCCUAUAAGGAAUAAGUGUUUGCCGUACUUGUGCUGACAGCUCCGUUCUGCACUUUUUUAGAUUUGAGGGAGGUGAGUGCAGAUCUCAUUCAAAUAAUCAUUCUCCAAUACUAUUAGAAUUACCUGCCAAAAAUGAAAGUGGCAUAUGAAUCACAAUAAACGACUCAUGAAUUUGUGGAUUUAGAGCCUGCCAAGGAGCACCAGAAAUCCACGAUUUCAAAGUCCCAUGAGUUUUAGGGACUUUGAACAAUGCAUAAAAGUACAUUUAUCCAAAGACCAUCUUAUUGAUGACCCAUCCCGUAAGGACUAUAGACAUAACCGAUUCAAGUGAAGGACAAUAUUAACUGAAAAUAAUUCUGCUCAAAUCUUUCACUUUAGAGUGAGGUGGUGAAUCUACCAAUUGAAACUCUGACAGAGGCCCUUCUUGAGGUGCUCCUUACUGAAGCACUACUGUGACAUAAUGAUGUGGAAAUAAGUCUGUGUGUGAGAAGAGCUAUUGGAUCCUCUGGGAAAUAUCACAGAUGCUUUCCAGUUCCUUUCAGACAUGUAAAUAACUUUAUGUUUAGACAUGAGUAAAGAGUGGUGGGAAGUGAAGUAGAGCAAGGAGUGGAGUGGGGUUAAAAGGAUCCACAUAGAUCCAGGAGCCAAAUAAAUGCAUAUGGCUUUUUCUUCUGCAUCUGAUGUUAGCUGGGGCAUGAAAUAAAAUGUUCAUUAUUAGGGAGAAACACUGCAUGAACGUGUGCAUACUUGAGAGUUAAGUCGACCUCAAGAUGGUUGAUGCCAUCUUCUGCCUGAAAUUACAGAUGAUCAACAGAAAUCUCAGUAAUGUUCAGAUACUUAUGUUGUUCCCAAGUAACAUAUACCUUAUCAAGUAUGGUUAAUUUCUAGCUUGUAAUAUAGAGUUAAUGCUGUAGCAUUGAAAAACACUACAUGCCACCUAGCAUUUCUCAUCACUGCUUGCUUUCUUCAUGGUUUCCUUUAAGCUAAGCACAUCAGAAACUGAAAAUAAAAUGUUUGAUUGAUCUUUCCCUCUUAACAGACAAAACCAGCAGCCUAGGUUUUAUAAUCUGUUUAUAUGUUAGUACUUACGAAAUACAGCAAAAAAAAAAUGCUUAUUAGCAUGGUCUACACAUAGCUGUCUCAGCAGCUUGAUGAAAAGUUAAGACUUGGUUUGAAUAACUAUGUUCCGACCGGUUUGGCAUAAUCUUUUGUAGAUGAAAAUGGCAGUGAACAAGCAUGCUGGAGUGGCCUGUGCAUAUCUUAUAAGCAAGUGGUCAUUGUCAGUUGUACCAUAAUCUCAUCUGAUGAUUCAUCUCACUGGUGGCUCAAUGUAAGACACUCAGAUGACGUUUCCUGAAUGCAGCUACUGCUUUCGGUGUAUUUUGGCAGUCUUGAUUGUUCUACUCUUUGUUGGUUAGAUGCCAAUCUCCUGAACUUAGGCCUAUGCCACCUCGCUACCUGAAUGUCUCUUCUGAAAAUGUGUUCACUGAAAUGGGCAUCACGUCAAGAAUAACAAAUUUAUCUGUCCAACUCUAGACUGGCUUAAUUUUCCUCCAAUCAUUCAUUGAAGAUUAGUGUUACUAGGCUGUGAUGCUGCGGAGUACCUCAGUCCAUUCAGCUUCUCUUCAAGGUGGUAAUCACUUCCUGCUCCACGUCUGUAGCAGGAGAUCUAUGGUUACCUAUAAAAGUAAACUGUAUCCUGUAAAUGUCCUCUUAAAACUUGUGCUCUACAGAGGAGAAAAUCAACUUGUUGCACGUGCAUCAGUGACAUCAAACACACUUCUCUUUGCGUGACUACCUUCUCCACCUUCUGUCAGUCUAAAAUUUUAAUUUUUUAAAGAAUGGAAUGAGUUGUAUUAAUAUUUGUGUGAACCACUUUUCCUGUACAUUGUCUGCUCGUCUUUUCUCUUUUCCCUUGGUGUCUGGUUUGUCUUGGCUGCUUUUAAAAAUUCUGUUGCCUCUAGUGAGGGACUGCCAGAUUAAACCAGCGAAAAGAAACCAGGUGACUGUCUACUUUUACAAAUAUAGGUUGUGUAUAAUAAAUUCAGGCUUUACAUCUAUGCAAAUUACAUCAUCAUAUGAUUCUGACUACAUGCAUUUUUUAUCAAAUAUGGCAUAUAUUUCACAAAUUAUAUUUAACUUAUAGUCAUGUUGCUAUUCUAAAUACCUAACAAGAAGUUAAAAGGUGUGUCACUAGAUCUUUGUAAAUAGGCUUAUGAAGACUGAGGAAAUGAGAGAAAAUAAUAUCUGGGUUUUUUUUCUUCAAUUCGUGCUAAUUCCAGUGGAAGGGCUUUUCCUGCUGUAGGUGAUAAUAUAAACACCUCACCACUGAGCUAUUUAGAGACACAAGUGCAUCUUGUUAUUAGGAAUUCAGAGAUUUUGAAAAGACUUAAACCAAAGCAUGACCAGAAUGAGGAAGUUUUAAAGCAAUGUGUCUUUGGUCUGGAGUCUACUGCAUCUGGUUAGUAAAGCCUUCUGCUAAUGUUUUGUCCUGGAGUAGAAGACAUUAGUCACAAUGUCAAAAUAAAUAUUUUUACUUCCGCAAAAUUAUAUUUUCACCUCAGGAAUAUUGUGAAGUGAAAAUAGGAUUUAGCACAAAUCUUCCUCCGGGGUUUAUCUACAGACAAGGCAGUUUGAGCGUAAAGCCUUCAGCCUUGCAAUAUGAUUCCCAACCGUAGGUGCACCAUACUUUGAAUAAUCAAUCUGUCAGCAGAGCUAUGACAAGGAUUAUGCCGUGAAGGUAACAACUCGAUGCUUCCAGUGUUAACUGUCCUCAACAACUGCUGCUGGUUUGGGUUUUUUUUUUUUUUUCAUAAAUAAAAGAUAUUUUGGUGAGCGCAAAGAUGUCUGUUAAGACUUGUGUUUCUGGAUGGUGUGAAAUGUGGGACUCUGGUGGAAUAGAAGCAUGUGAACAAACAGGUGUGAUUCAAAAAACCACUGCUAAGCAGUUGCCUAAACCUCAAAGCACUACAUUUGCCUCUCAUGAUUCAUGCCUUGGAGUUAGUUCCUUUUCCUCCUGAGACUCCUGAGUGGCCUUUCAGGAGUGGUCAUGCCCAGUUCUCUGGACCCCAGGACCAUGACAUUCCUCCACUCAAAUGUCCUGGUUGACCUGACCUCCUGGCCACACCUGGAGCAUGCCUCAGACUCACUGACACAACUCACUUGACAAAAUGCAGUAGGGUCACAGUGGUAAUGAUGGUACAUAUUCCCAGGACUUUUUUAUUUAUAAUUUUUUGAGGGGGAUGAUGUGUGUAUUCCACAACAAUUUAGCAUAGCAAAGACAGAAAUAAUCCUGAGGAAACUCAGUGUGUGCCCCAGCCCUGGGAAUAACCUAAACAGUAGAUUAUGAUCUAAGGAAUCUUGAAUUUGUUUGUGCUCAAGGGCACUGUUUCGGCAAAAGGGUUGAGACUGUCUUUUCUAAAAUAACCAUCAGCAUGAUGGUCAGAGUCUUCCCUAGGGUGAGAGGAGAUGUGGGUUGGGGCCUUUCAGGGCAAGAGAGAUGAAUCCCAUGAUUGCAUGAGUGUUCUAAUCACAGAGUUGUCGUAUAGAGGGAGAUGGGAAGCCAGCUUCUCCUCCAGCUAUGUUUUAAUAAAACAUAAGUUUUGAAGGAAAGAUCACAGGAACCUAUUUUCAUAAAAAGAAUCAGGGUGUAGAUACGGAGUGGAUGGAGGCAUCUCUCAGACAGCUCUGGGUAGAGCCCUGUCUUUAGAGGCAAUCCUCAGGUAGAGCCUUGGCUUUAGAGGGAGGCAGGAUUUUAGAUUUGGGACAAACCUCAUAUUUUCCCUGGUUAAUUCCAGUCAGUUUAUGUUGAGGUCAAGACAUGCUGUGCUGGCUGUUUUCCAGGCCACCCAAGUGUCUCUCCAUGUACACUGCAGGUAAGUUGUACUUUUAAAACAUGAUCCUGGAUACCUGGUAGGGAAUCAUGGGCCAAAAAAUUCAAUAUUGGAGCACCAGAAUCCUUUAUAGGAUCGGGCCGUAAAAUGAUAUAAAUCAGUAUCUGUUCAUUCAGAACAGUUGGUUUCGUAUAAACACCAAUACUUAGUAUCAGCUAGUAACUGUUCUCUUAGUAGAGUUUCUGCACUAUUUUUGUUUGUAUCACAAAUGACAGCCCAGGAAAUUGUUGGAUUGCAUAUUAUUUAUAAUGAAAAUUCUCGCUGUGUUUCCCACUGGAAGCUGUAAUGGCUAGCAUGGCUAGAGACUCAUAUUGGUUUGAGUCCUUUGGGAUACAAGGUUAGAGUUAUAUUUUUAUGGAAUUUAACUAAAUGAAAGUGAAAAUAAAUACUAAAAUUUUGACCUUUUUUUUUUUAGGAAAAUGUAAUGAUAUUCAAAGAUGCUUAUUUCUCCUUUAAAAAUAAUUUCAUAUUAUCUGCUUGCAAACUUCCAAAAUCAAGGCACAAUAUAUCCCGCCAGAAAAAGGCAACAACAUGAUGGCAGUCCAGUGCACAGUCCAGUUACCCCCGCCAUGGGGUAACUGACUGCUUUUGCCACAUACAGAAUAUAUGGGCACAGUUCAGACAGUCUGUCCCAUUCAUGUUUCUUUCCCCAAACCUGCUCGAUACAACUGAAGAGGAGGUUACAAAGCUACUCUGGAACCCUUCCACUUGUGAUCUGCAUCCUACAAUAUGGAAUAUUCUAAAUGUCAUGGGCUUUCCCUAGCUAACAAGCUGGUUAUACUGGCUAUGCAUGAAGAUACCGAUUUGGGUCUUAAUUAACAUCUGUAGUUUAAUCAUACAAUUUGUGAUCCUGAGAAAUCUGAACUGUAGACUUUCUGGUUUUUCUGAUGACAGAAAAAUACUAUAAACAAAACGAAACUAAAAUAAUGUUUUAGCACAUAAAGAAUUUGUACCAGCUGUGGCUAUGGUAACUUUUGUUGAAAACUGGGAAUUCCGGAGAUUGUAUUUUUCAGUGCCUGCUGAAGGUUUUAAAGGUAAUAGACAUGAGAGUAAUACAUUAGCAACCUCAUAAGUUUUUUAGUGUUUAAGUUUAGACAUCAUUCUAUCUGAUUUUACAGGGGCUAACUCUUCUGCAGUGACAGGGCUGUAAAUCUCCAGCUAGGCUCAGUUUUAUUAUAAACAAUGUUGACCUGAAAGAGAAAAUAUGGAACAAAUUGCUGUGAAAGUGGAUUGGCCUGUUCAGUCUGGUGACCUAGUGAAGCGGUGCUGGACUUUAUAAUCUUCAUUGCAGACAGGUCUUCAUUGUUGAAGGAAGCAGGAAGUGUAAAGAGGGCUGUAAUUGCAUAUUCUUUAAUAAGAAAUAUAAUUGUUGCUUUCUCCAAACAUAUCUCAGACAGAUUUUAAUAGUGUGUAUGCACUGAAAAGACUCUGAAACACACCCUUCUACCCUACUUUGUUCAUAUACAUUGAUAUAUUCUAAUGUAUUUACACCCUCAAAAAAUGUAGUCCAUGUAGAGCAUUUCUGAUGUACAGGGUUCCUUACUCUUUUUUUCCUUUUAGAUUGACUAUGGUGUAGAGAAAUACAAUGGAGCAAGAUUCACUAAGAGAAAUAAGAGGUCCAGUAGAUAUAUUACUUUAGAUAUUUUGAAGUUUCUGUCUUAAAAUAAAGCUUUAUAGUGGUCAUGAUUAUAGUGGUCAGUCUUUACUACAGUGUCAAGGCCAUGCCAUCUUACAUAUUUGUUGAAAUAUCUCCAGUUGCUCAGCCUACUUAAAAAAAAAAAAAACAAAGAAAGCUUUUUUUUUAAAAUAAAUGAGACUACCAAUAUAUAUUAAAUUAUUUUUAUUUCCAUUGAGUAUAAUAUUUUAAAAACUUUGAAUUCUUCUUUCUGUGAAAUUUGAAGUUAGGAAAACAUUAGCUUUUAAUCCUAGGAGACUUAGACCUUCAGUCUAUUUGUAGAAAAGAUACACUGUGGAGAGUGGACUCAUAAGAUUCUCUGUGAUGACCUGACUAUAAUAAUCAGCUCAAAAAUGUUAAAGGUUUCAAGCUUUGUACCCAUAAUGUUUUUUUUUAUUCACUACACACAAAUAAAAACUGCAUUGUCUUGUGAAUUUGACACUGUCUUUAGUAUAUAUUCAUCUUGAAAGUAACUGGUGUGAGUUCAUCACUUCCUUUUUUAUAUCUUCCACUAAUCAGUCACCCUUGAUAAAGGCUUCACUUGCUCAGACGACCUAUGUGUGAAGUAUCCCAAUUCUAAUCCCUGGGAGGUAUUCAAGUGUGAUCUAUCUGAUGAAGGAAGAGUAGAACAGUGUCUAGUAUCUACUGAUGAUAUUUAUGCAACUGGGGUCUAGAAAGAGAUUUUAUAAAAAAGGAUAUAUGCAGGAAGAAGAAAAAGACCACUACUGUUUACCAUAGUUCAUAGGAUUUGUCUCUUUCAAAACCUUGUGUCAAGGUAAGUUGAAUCUGUGCAAGCAGAAAAAUGAAAUCGUGGUUUGCUACUGCUCAGCAAUAUUCAUGCAGUGAGUCAAGUCAACAAUACUGAGGUUGAGAAGAACACAAACCAAGGAGGUUGCCCAUGCAAAUGAUACAUCCUGGUUUCUUCCUCAUGAACUCUUCCAUGAAAUCUUGCUGCACCCAUCUUGAUUGCAUAUGCUAAUCCUGGCUUCUUAAUUGACUCAUAACAGAUUUAUCUGGAUUUCCAACUUCCUCUUCUCUUUUGAAUGUUAAUUAAAAGAAAAACGAUUACACUUAUGAUAUUCAUGACAACAACAGAGUUUUCUGCUAGAGAUGUUCAGAGCCAAAUUUUUCUUUUACUCAUAUGGGACUAUUCAAAAACAAUAAACUUGAGACUGCUUUGUGCUUUUGGUACCAUGUAGUGAAAAAUGGCCUUAGCAGGAAUGGAGGACAGUUCAUAUAGUAUAUCUUCCAAAUUUUACUUCAUACAGUAAAAUUGAGAAAAAGCCCCCAGCUUCUAGAAAAAAUUAUUUGUAACAAGUCAAAAGAAGUGCUUGUGCGGACUUGUAUAUUCUCCCUUUCUUCCCUAAAUUAGUGGCUGUCACUAUUAGGUUUGCAGAAUCAAGAAAAGGAGGGCUCCAAUAUUCUCUAUAUGGAAUAUGGAGAUUUUGAGGUAUAUCCCCAGCAUAGAUAGCUAAUUGUCCUUUGUUGUUUCUUAUGCUAGAUGCAGAAUUUGUUUAUUUUUACUCAGGAUUUAGGAACUCUUUAAAUAAUAGUUGUUAUGGUUUUCUUGUCAUAUGAACAAAAUGAGAUUUAAUUAAAGGUCUUCUUCCUUUUUUUUGAAAAAAACUAAUUCAUAUUGUGAACUUGCACAGGGCUUUUUUUUAAUUUGUUUUUUUGGUUUUGUUUUUGUUUCUCCUUAGCAAGGCACUUUGUAGUUAUAGUCUUGCUUGGUAACCCACCACAUUGUUGUUGGUGGUUUGGGGUUUUUUUUGUAUUCAGUAGAUUAAAUCAUACUAUCCUAUUUGGGAUCUUCCCAUCAUUACAGCUUUUGCCACCCAUAACCUUAUUUUAUGAUCAAAGGGGAAAUAAAAGGAAAGCAGUAAUGUUAAUAGGUUUUCCCAUGCAAUCUCUCUGGGAAUGGUCUUUUUAUAAAAGUGUCUUGAACUUGACCUCUUCAGAAGGCCCAAAGGUCCAACACACAUUUUUAAAGUUGCAUUUAAAUUUUAAUAUUUUUAUUCUGUGAAGUCAUUUAAAACCUGGCCCUCAAAACACAAAGCAUAAAUCUUUCAGGGCAGUCAUACAGUAAAAUUGAUGUGUGCGGAAGAGAAAUUCCGGAAAACCCCUAAAGCUCUGUUGCUUUGCUUUUCAUGUUGUUUUAUAGAUACGUUCCCUACAACACUACCAAAUAAUCAAACAAAAUCCAAUGAAUAAUAUUGUGAUUUCAUCACUCUGGCAUUUGAACUUGCAAAUAUAAUUUAGCAAUGAAUUAGAAGAGGAAAAGUUUUGCAUUGCCCCACCCUCAUUAUAAAAAUGUUCUUCAGAGCCAAACAUUUGAGACAUUAGGAAGAUUUACAGUAAUAAUAUAAGUAGCUAUAAUGAACUUGGGAACAAGGGAGUCUUGUAAGAGAUUCUCAGAAUGAGAGAGAGGUUUUGCAAGCAAUUCUAUCAACACUAAAUAAAUAUUUAGGAAGAUUGUCUUCUCUUAGUGAUUCUGUAUAAUAAUUGUAGUGCUAAUAGGAAGAAUAUUAUUUGAAUAUGAGAAGAUAUGUAUCUCUCAGUCCAUACAACUUGUUUGUGUGGGUGCAUCUAGUUCUCAUUAAAGGUACUGGUUUGACUGUCCUGAUUGCCAUGAAAAUAAGUUAGCUUUGUCAACAGCUGUACGAGGUUUCCAGCCAUUCUUCCAAGUUCAUCUGAGGGCAAUGUUUUCUGUCUGCAAUCUCUUUUUUUUCUGGAAUAGUGAACAAGGCACACGGAUAUGACAGGUCAGUUUGAUAACAUACUUGGAAAGGAAAAGAGCACAUGUUAAAUGACUGAACUUGACCUGUAGGUGGGGGUCACACCAUCGCCCAUCACUGCAACGUCAGUGUACACUCUCCAAGCUUGGUAACACAGAAAAUUCCUAUUUAAUCUUCCUUUCUUUAUUUGUGCAAAGUUCCUAGCUCCAGUUUCUAAAUCUGAAUCUCUGACCAUACCAGUAAACAGAGAAAACUGGGUAACAGGGAAAGUCAAGGCAUGAGGGAGGUAGGCAAGAGUGUCUACCAGUCACAUCUGGCACGUCCGCCCUGACAGCCCUGUUCAGUGUCCUGCUGCAAAGGGAGUGGCAGGGUUGGAGCAUGACCUCUUGUUCCCAACACUCACUCUGGCUUCCCGUGAGCAAGGCUGAGUUGAGGAUGUGAGCACAGAAACAGGGAAUCCCAUUGAAAUUGCUGGAAAAAAGCUCUCAUUAACUUAAUGAGAUUUGGAGCAUUACGAGGGAACUCCAGCUGGAACCAGAUCUGAACCCAAGUACGAAACAUUCCUGGAUAUACUACCACAAACUUGUUUCAAGGAGAAUAUGUGCUCAGACGUACAAAUGGCUAGAUUCUGAUCUCAGUAAUGUCAGUGUGAGUCUCUUAACUCAUUUAAACUGCACUCAGACAACUAGCCCUGAAGCCUGAAGACUGCAAAAUGAAGAUGCAGAAAUGCUACAGGAGACUGCAGAAGGAGGGUGGAGCUAUGAAGAUUUAGCCACACACCUUGCUGGAACACCUUAAGACAGCUACAGAUUUCCUAUCAUCUGAAGAAUAUGCUGAGGAAGUCAAGUCACCUGUUAUGAAGGAACGGGAAAAACAUCCCAAGAAAAGGCCCAUCAGACAGUUACUGGCUGCCAGCACAAAAUGGUGAGACAAACUGUGCUUCAACCUAGCAAGAAUUCAGGUGACACAUUUAAUUUAACUUGAUACCAUAACUUUACCUAUAAGGAAAAAUGGCCUAACAUAGUUAUACCAGGGGAAAAAAAACCCUUCCAGCUAUUUUUGAGUAGUAUUCACAUUCUGGGGUAAAAAAACCCUAAGUCCAAACAAACAGACAAAACCCCUGGCAUGGGUGUGCACACUGUAUCUUGGAAUUAGUCUGAUUUUUAUUCUAGAAUAAUUAUUCCACUCACAAUGCAGAGUAAUUAUUCCCAAAUAAAGUAUUUUUUUUUAUUGCAAUGAAGUGUCCAUCGGGAGCUAUCAUGGAGUAGUUAUCCCAGAAUUGCUGUGCUGCUUAACUUCCUCCCAUGUAGACAAGCCUUAAGAAAUCAUAUCCGAAAGAAGAAGAUCAAGGAGAAAAAAAAUGUGUCAGUGCAUGUGUUACAGCAUAAAGUGUGAGUGCUAAAAGUUAUACAUUGUAAUGUAGAUGAUGUAAACCACACAUUUAUCCCAGGAAGGUACAUGGUAACAGCAGCAGAAAAGGCUUUUGUGCAAAUGUGUAAUAAGAAUUCACACCUUUCCAUUUCAUUUAGAAGUUACUUUUGAAUAUUUCAAAUUGAGCUUUUUUUUUCUUUAUUCAAUGCAGAUGUACUGUUUACUGAAAAAUUCUAUGAUAUUCCCUCUGUGAUUAACUGCAAUGUUCAAUCUUUUGGAAUACAGUAGUCCUGGUAUGGUGCUGGGUCAUAUCUUCUGAAAUGAGCUGAAAUGCUUGACCUUUGGAGUGUGCCUCAACAACAAAUUAAACUCGAGGGUGGAAUGAGGAACAUUAUAUUAGUUGAGCCGGUACACCUCCUGUUAUAUUAAUACUUUACUGAGAUGCAUAGUGCAGUCCACCCUCUGCCUUGCUUCAGGCUGAGUAAUGUAUAGUCAUGUUUUCAUGCUCUCAGAACUUCAAAAAAAAACCCCAUGAAAACUAUGUAUAAGUCAGAAGACUUCUGGAAAUUGGUUCUGGGCAAGAUUUUGAUUAUCUUGCCACUUUAUGUCACUCUUAAGGCUUCCUAAUCUAUGAGUGACCCAGACAGGAACAUCUUCUCUGACUCCUGUCAUAUCUUGAUGACAGAGAUACCCUUAUGGUAUCCCUGGUGUCCCAAUCUCAUCUCAGGAACAUACUGUGUGACCUGCUGUUGGACUUGUCCCCACUCCCUCUGUUGCUGUGGUAUCCCUGGCAAAGCCCUUCUAACACUUGGUCCCUCACAUGGGUCCCACCAAUAUGCACACAUCUUGUAGUACGCAGCAACUGGUGCAGCUGGAGAAGGCAGAGGAGGAAUAUAAUAUUCAAAUGUGAAAUAGAAAGUGCUAGUUCUGAUGGGAGCAUCAAAAAAGGCCGACUAGAUGCCAUAUCUAGAGGACAAGACCCCCUGACAAACACCAACAUUAACUUUGUGCCUGGUGCGCAGCACCUAGCUGGCAAAAGCAGCCACCUCUCAGCCCAACUCCAAUGUUUCUUGGCUGCUCAGGGUACAUAUCACAAGCCAGAUAAUACUGAGAUGGCCUCCCAGGCAAGUACAAGCAACCGUGCACCUGUAAUUUUGGAAUAGGUGGACAAGCAAAUAUGUGUUUUGUUUUAAUUUUCGCCUGAAGCAGGCAGGUCUCCCAUCUCAGGGCAAAGGCUGGUGGACACUAUCUUCUGGAAGGUCAGCAGGUAGCCCUCCCAGAUCUGAGCAGAGCAACUUGUCUUUUACAAACCCACAUCUCUUCAAAAUCUGAGUGACUGCAGCGGGAGAAGGAACUCUGCAAGGUCUCUGCCAAGCCUUGUGAUGACCUUAGGUCCUGCCUCAGUGGACACAGCUCCGGCAAGGGAAGAGCCAUGUGCAGUGCCAUCUGGGCCCACACUGGCGAGGUGACCCUCCCUCCGGCACUCCGGCUGCGGACACCUGUGCUUCUGCCUGCCUCCAGAGCCCCAGUCCUUACUCCUCUCUCAGAUCUUGCCCAGGGAACCACUCAGGCGUCUCCCUCCAUCUCUCCUCUCUGCGGACAACAGUGAUGAGCCACUGUCUGUCCACCCCAGCUACUCCAGCUCGGCAACACGGGCAGUCAAGAGAAGGAUCUUGAUUGCCCCUGUACUAGGAUGGUGGAGAUGUCUGUUCUGCCUCCUGGGACCCUCACUGGCCCCUGCAGCCACACAGCAGACAUUGGCACCAUCAGGGACUGGCUUGCCUUCUGCCACCACAGGGUCUUACAGCUUUCCAGCCCCCAAAAACCAGGGGAGGAUGUUUGCCUUAAUGUGCCUUUUGUUUCAGUGAGUCUGACUUGAGACCCUCAGCAAGUAGGAAUAAAUUUACAAUCAGUAUUGAGAAGAAUUUCUCAAAUCCUCUAAGGAUAAUUUCCUCAAUACAUGAAUACUUUUACUAAUUUCUUGUUUGGGGAAAAGUGGGAAAAAAUACACCCACUAAAAUACAGGUUUGGGAGGGGUUGUUUGCUUUCACGAAUCUUCUAGCUCUUGUUGUGUUUUCACCUUGCUCAGCAGGACUGCCAGACCUUUCCCUUCCCAUUCUGAUACUUCUUC